AACGAACGCUGGCGGCAGGCUUAACACAUGCAAGUCGAACGCCCCGCAAGGGGAGUGGCAGACGGGUGAGUAACGCGUGGGAACCUACCUCAUGGUGCGGAAUAACUCAGGGAAACUUGAGCUAAUACCGCAUGUGCCCGAAAGGGGAAAGAUUUAUCGCCAUGGGAUGGGCCCGCGUCGGAUUAGCUAGUUGGUGGGGUAACGGCCUACCAAGGCGACGAUCCGUAGCUGGUCUGAGAGGAUGAUCAGCCACACUGGGACUGAGACACGGCCCAGACUCCUACGGGAGGCAGCAGUGGGGAAUAUUGGACAAUGGGCGCAAGCCUGAUCCAGCCAUGCCGCGUGAGUGAUGAAGGCCUUAGGGUUGUAAAGCUCUUUCGCCGGUGAAGAUAAUGACGGUAACCGGAGAAGAAGCCCCGGCUAACUUCGUGCCAGCCGCCGCCGUAAUAC
rnacentral:rRNA from 1 species